rnacentral:SRP_RNA from 1 species
CGGCUGUAAUGGUCAUAUUGGAUGAAGGCGUGUCACAAUUUCCCGAUAUGGUUUCCACCAAAUCCGUUAGCUCCCUCCCGCUGACGCCCAGCUCGAACACUGCGGUAGAUUCCGAUCACUCGCUCGGGAAACCAGCGACGCUGACUCGGCUCUAAGCAAUAGGGGAUCACACUUCAGGAAGGCUUCACUUCGCAGAGAAAUUCCCACCGUCGCGUGGCGGGUUGGAUUACGAUCGCGGGGGGCUUGGUGGACUGUAUUAGGAUGGACAUGACAACUCUUUUUUU